GACGAACGCUGGCGGCGUGCUUAACACAUGCAAGUCGAACGGAAAGGCCCUGCUUUUGUGGGGUGCUCGAGUGGCGAACGGGUGAGUAACACGUGAGUAACCUGCCCUUGACUUUGGGAUAACUUCAGGAAACUGGGGCUAAUACCGGAUAGGAGCUCCUGCUGCAUGGUGGGGGUUGGAAAGUUUCGGCGGUUGGGGAUGGACUCGCGGCUUAUCAGCUUGUUGGUGGGGUAGUGGCUUACCAAGGCUUUGACGGGUAGCCGGCCUGAGAGGGUGACCGGGCACAUGGGGACUGAGAGACGGCGCAGACUCCUACGGGAGGCAGCAGUGGGGAAUAUGGCACAAUGGGCGGAAGCCUGAUGCAGCAACGCCGCGUGCGGGAUGACGGCCUUCGGGUUGUAAACCGCUUUCGCCUGUGACGAAGCGUGAGUGACGGUAAUGGGUAAAGAAGCACCGGCUAACUACGUG
rnacentral:rRNA from 1 species